UCCGAAAUCGCAUACUUCCAUACUAUAUAGUAGGCGAAAAACAGUAUGCGAAGCAAGUAGUAUGUCCGAAUUCUCAGUAUUCGAAAAACAGUAGGCGAGAUGUACCCGGAUGGCCUACUACUUCCGGCCGAAUUCCGUAGUAUGCAUAGGAUGGACACUUCUCUAUCCCAUGAGGCAACGGGAGAGGGCUCGUCAUACUCAUAUUCGAAAAUAACGGAAAAUCGGAGGAUCGUGACGCCGCUGUUUUGAAGUAGACUGAUGAACACAAUCUUGUUCUCAUCCACUGAUGAAACCCUAUUCACUGGAAAGCAUAAUUCAUGUAUCAUCGUCAUGAUCCUCCACAACUUCUGGAUCAGCAAUGUCCUCAUUCAGAAGACGGAGGUUGUAGAGCACUGCACAGCAUGCAACAACAUCUGCACAAAGGCAGAACUCACUUCCAGGGCCUUGAAGAAGAAGAUGGAGCACAGCUGGUCUUCAUCAUC